UCCAGAGAAGUGGGAAUCUUAAGCUUGAAAGACUCCUGAGGCAAAUGGUAUUUCAAUCUCAUUGAAAUCCAGCGAGGCACCAAGCACUGAACAAAAGCCCCACAGAAAUUACAGAAGAAAUAACAGGAGAGACUUGAAAUCACCUGAAUCAAAAGGAGUUCUUAUCCUGCCCUGCAGAUAGGAAUUAAGGCUGAUUGGGAUAGUAGUCACAUACUAUUUGUGCUAGUAGUACUCUGAAACAAAGAAUGAUGAGGACUGGAACUUGCAGAUUCAGACAGGAACUCCUCUGCAGAAGUGUUCUCAAGCUUUGGCUGCUCAGCAAGCACUUCUGGCCUGCCCAGUCCUGUCCUGCUCUGUGCAUCCUCCAGACCAGCAACCAGCAGGGCAGGGCAGUGACCUCUUCCUGAUAUGGAUGUGAAUGUAACUCUCCUUUAGGACAACAGGGCAUGGGAUACA